UCUCAGACAAAACAUACUAUCUAGUUUCUCUCAGGAUUUUAGGGACAACAAUUUUGCCGUGGUAGUUUUAACAGUAUUUUUUCAAACAAUUAAAAGCAUCGAACGAAUCAUAAACGUAUUCCGGAUUGUGUGUUUGUCAUUCAUAAGUGUUAACUUCGAUAGGAAAAAAUAAUUCGCUACGACAGGAUUACGAUUUCGUAAAUCGGGAUUUGGGUCAGAAUGGUUAGCAUUCGAUACAAACACUAUAAAAAAAUAGUGUGGUUUAAAAUACAUUUCGAUACAGAUGGAAAAACAGAAAUGGAUUUCGACAAAGGGAUGGAAGAACAGAAAAUGGAUGUGUAUAUAUCGUUGUUAAUGUUUUGUUAUAAGCAAUGGAUUAAAGUUGUCAUUAAGGUCGAGCUGAUCUUUCUGAGUGAAACAGUGGGUGUAUCAUCGCUUGAGUUUCCACAGGAUUCGGUAUUCGACUUAUCAGCCAUGAUAGAAACAACCGCUGGAGAGGUGUAUUACAUGAUGCAAGCAGUGGCGAACUCAGCAGUUCCAGACAAUAUGAAACAACUCAGGUGUGUAGACAAUCUGGACGCCGGGCGGGCACAGAUUUCGGACAUGCUGGCCGUGAUCGGACAAGAUAUCAAUCUGACAGCUUCUACUAUGUUUGACAACGAGAGGGCCUACUUGUACCAGAUGAUGCAGAGGAAGUUAUUAUACGAGCUAGCUAAUAAAAAGAACACAACAAAGGCGGCAGCUAAAAUGGUCGAACGUCUGGCACAGCAAAUGCAAGACGAACUUAGGGUUUGUAUGACAUGUGACAAUUCUAACAACACUAAAACAGAGCAGUUGAUACGUAAGAACACCGCUGAGGUCCUAGCCAACUCGAGGACGACAACAAAGACUUCGGAAUUUAAGCUUGACGGGCUUGCAAAAGCAGUUAGACCAGACGGGCAAGGUGGUGAAGAAGACGUGUCUUUAUCUGCAAUAGAGUUCACAGAAAAUGUGUACAUGUAUGAUAACGACGGCACGUCAAGCUUCGUGACGUCUAAUAUUUUGAGAAUAGACACAAAAACGAAGUCUCGUCGAAUCACACCGGAGAGAAUGACGUUUUCACAAAACGCCAAAACACCCAUCCCAACCACGAUUACGCCAAACGAUACAGUAAAAGCCGAAGACGCAUCGGAAUUUUCCUAUCACAGAUUUGUAUAUGGAAAAUCCACUGACAACGUUUGCUUGAAAGUGGUGCCGUUAGGUAAUAAUAUUACGUCGUAUCGGGUGUACUUUAGAUUCCACCAAGCUCCGAGUAUUUUGGACUUUGAAUUUGAUUUCUUGCUCGAGAAGGACGAUGAUUGGCAGCAUUGCAUAAAUGCAAGUUCAAUGCUAGGUCAUACAGGGCUCACAUAUUUUGCAGUCCAAGUCCCUGGUUUCGUGAAAGAAAUCCAAUACAACCUAACUCUGAUCACUGGUGGUUGUUUAACUUGGAACGAGGCCGCGACUAAAUGGGAAACCGACAAAUGCGAGAUGACGUGGAGACCAAGAGAGAACAAAAUAGACUGUCUAUGUACUAACAUCACAGACCUAGUAUUCGCCAAUUCAUUUUUCGUUGCUCCAAAUUCAAUUGACUUUGCCACCGUGUUUCUGAAGUUCUCACCCCUAAAUCAGGCAGCAGUAACGGGGACCUUUGCGUGUCUGUUGCUUCUUUACAUAAUAAGCGUUGUUGUCCUUGCAAGAAUGGAUAGACGGGAUAGGCUGAAGUGGGGCAUUACUGCACUGCGCGACAAUCGGCUCACGGACUCAUCCUAUUAUUUGAUACGUGUUCUAACGGGCAUGCGUGAAGGGGCUGGUACAAGGUCGCGCAUAGCUUUUGUUUUGACGGGACAAAAUGGCGACACAGGAUCUCGGGAGCUGUUUGAUGGAGUUAGGGAGGAAUUCAGCACUGGGAGUGUCAUGACCUUCUUAAUGGCGACGCGCAAGCAUUUGGGAACGCUGGAGCACAUGUGCAUUUGGCAUGAUAACUCAGGAGAGGGUGACAACGCUUCCUGGUACCUGAAUCAGGUGUCUGUGUAUGACGCCCACACAAAACAAGCAUACACGUUCGUCGCUGAGAAGUGGCUCUCUGUUGAAACGGAAGUCUUUGUAAAUAUGAAUGCUAAGAGUGAAAAUGAACCCAUCGAGUUUGAAAGCAGGUUCUUCUAUCAGACCCGAGACCGACUGUCAGAGAGUCAUAUGUGGGUCUCCAUUUUCUACCGGCCACAAAUCAGCCCGUUCACUCGUGUCCAGCGUUUGUCGUGCGCCCUUGUUUACAUCUGCCUCACUAUGAUUGCUAACGCCAUGUUCUAUAAAACGGAAUCCGACUACGAAAGCCCGCCUUUACUACAAGCGGGACCGUUCCGCUUCACAGCACAACAAAUAUUUGUGUCCAUAACAUGCGCUCUUAUUACAACACCGCCAGUGAUGCUGCUGAUGGUCAUAUUUAAGCGAACAAAGCGGCGUCAGGACAUGCUUUGUAAAUGCUGUACUUGUCCUGGUGUGUGCUGCAGAUUUCCGUGUUCAUCAACGAAAAGGGACGCAUCUCCGGACUUCGCAAAGCAGUUGCGAUCUAUAAUGUUGACAUCGGAAGUUCCAGAGUUUACAGGUGUCCGACUUCCUUGGUGGUUUAUCAUAUUCGGGUGGCUCCUGGUUGUUGCAGGCACAUUGGUACCCGCCUUUUUCGUUCUUCUCUACAGCAUGCAAUGGGGGAAGCAGAAGUCAGAGGAAUGGCUCACUUCCUUUCUUCUGUCAAUCUUUGAAUCCAUGCUUUUUGUUGACACUAUCAUGGUGAUGUGUUUUGCCUUUGUAUUCGCCUGCCUGUUCCGAAAGUCUAAAGGGGAAUUACAUGUUGAUAUGGACACUGUAGUUCAGAAUUAUAAAAAGCUUACAGGCGAAGACAAGGAUGAUAUGUCCUCGAUAUUUGCGAUCUUAAAGAAAAUAAAAGAUGAAUAUGUGUCGUAUACAUCCACUCCUAGGAACGUGUCGAUGCCCAUGCAGCCAGAAGAGAUGAAAGAGGCGGCAAAGCAAAGGCGACUGGAACUUAACUUGAUCAAAUGCAUCCUGGACUUCAUCUUGAAUACACUUCUCAUGUUUAUUGUCUGCGUUAUAGCGUUUGCUAACCGGGAUGAUAUGUCUUACUAUCAUCGACAGGAACUGAUUCGGCAUUUCGUUUCGCCAGCACACCUUCCAGCUUUCAAGUCGAUUAAAACUCAAAUGGAUAUGUUUAAUUGGAUUAAAAACACGAUGAUACCAAACCUGUUUCCGGAGACCGAUAUCAACGGGGAUGCUCUACACUGGUAUUACCGCACAUUUAUGACAGGCCUGAACAACUACAGGUUAGGGCCGCCGAGACUGCGUCAACUGAGGACACGUGCAGGUUACUGCAACAUACCAUACUUUGGUAAUACCACCUGCUACGGAGAAUACAAUCUUCUAGAUGAGGAGACGGAGGGCUACUGUAUAGGAUGGCAGUCCCAACCGUGUUCUGUGGUCCAGCAAGCCUGCAACGUAGCCGUAGACGCUUGGUCUUUUACUUCCGCGCUCGAUAUAUGGGGUCUACCGCUGACUGGUUUCUACACGACAUACGGGGGCGGAGGAUACAUCGCGCCGUUUGAUGUUAACAAGAAUGUGAGUGUGGGCAUCGUCGAAGAAUUAGUUAAAAACCUGUGGGUCGAUCGACAAACAAGAGUGGUGCUAUUUGAAUUUACAUUGUUUAGUCCAGAAACAAACAUGUUUAUUUACAACGUCUUCAUGAUUGAGUUCCCGCAAACAGGUGGAGCAUUUACAACUUACUGGAUCUAUCCGAUAAAAUUGCAUAACCACGUUGGACCGAACGGCAUGUUUGCCCUUGUAUGUGAAGUCAUAUUCGUUAUAUAUCUUCUAGGUUUUGUUUUUCAAAAUAUGCGUGCGAAUAUAUCAACAAAGGCUGAAAUACUUUGUCCAAUUUUGGCAAUCCUACGAGUGUUUACUAUUUCUAUUGGGUGUAUCAGCAUGUGUGAUUUAUUUUAUAAGGUCGGACUUUACAGAUAGUACCAUCAGCAAAUACCAAAGCGAUAUCAAACGGUUUGUGAACUUUAGCCAUAUAGUGCUUUGGGACGAAAUUCUAGGUGUCUUAUUAGCAAUAAUAGUUUUUAUGUCAACUAUUAGAAUACUUGAAGUAUUUGCUUCCUCAAAGAAGGUUAGUGGCAUUGUAAAAGUAUUUGAGCAGUGCGGAAAAGAUUUGUUCUGGUAUGGAGCUACAUUUGUAUACAUACUUCUUGGAUUUGCUUUCUCCGGGUGGUUUUUAUUCGGACCAUAUCUACUGCCGUACAUGAGUAUCUACAAAUGUUUGACCACUUUGUGCCUUUCAAUGAUUGGUAAGAGCACGUUUACGGAAAUAGACGAAACGAAUCCGAUCUUGGCUAAAAUAUUUUUCACCUUUUACAUAAUUGCAGUAGUAUUUUUUAUAUUGUCAAUAUUUUUGUCAAUACUUUGUGCAAGUAUAGACAACGUUGUCGGCAACAAGACAGAAGAAACACACAAAGACAUUAUUGAAUACAUGAUGACUAAGUUUACAAAGAUGUCUAACAAAAGUGGAAACAAAGGAAAGCAUGUCAACGUACCACUUUUAAGGGAAGAGGUCAACCAGCCGACGCUCUACAAGUUGUGCAAUAUGGGACAAAAGGGAACGGCGACGUUUACGGUACAAGUAAGAAAAGCUAUUGAAAAACAGGAGGACGAAAACAGCAAGCCUCUAAGAAAACGCCGACGACGCAUCAAGCCACUAUCAGGCACAUUUGAUUCGGUGUAAAUGUUUGAGCUUUCAUUUGACAUAAAACGUGUAAUGUUAUACAUAAAUAUGCAACACAUCGUUAAUACAAUUGUUUGGAUACUGCUCGAUUUUAUUUUUAUUUUUAAUACUCUGCAUCGAUGUUCGAUGUUCCUUCGAUAUUAUUGACAAUUUGAUGAACCAAAGUAUAAGGUCAUUUGUUCUGUGGCAUACGGGCAUAUGUCUCAUCACCCAACAGUGCCAAUGGUUACAUUUUUAUGAAAACAUUUUCUCCCGUGAGCAUAUUACACGUUAUAUUUGGUGAUGCAGAGGAUCUUUUUUGUGAAUGAUUUUUAUCUGCAUUAUUGUAUGAUUGAGGGUCACGCGAUAUUUUUGCAGCGUACAAAAUAUUGUGUCUACUACUUGAACUAUGUGUUUUAUCGAUAAUAUCAUUAUUAUAUUGAAAAAAUAACAGGUGUAAUCUCGAACAAUAUGUUUUGUUUGCUGCUGAUAUGGUAAGGUAAAAUUAUGAUCCUUCCAUGUGUUUAAAAAUGUUUUUGUAAAUGUUUGUAUUUGUUCUUAAAUGAGUUUAGUCUUUUAUUAAAGUAUUAACCGUUUUCAGUUAAAUAAUAUCAAUGGUAAUGUUAAACUAUAUUACAAUGUAAAAUAUGUAUUAUGUACUAUUCAAGUCAAUAGUAAAUUGAGUUUUAUUUCGGUUUAGAUAAAUGUGAUGACAUUUUAUAUUUUUGUUAAAAACGAUAAAUGCAGUUGGUUUAAAAAAAAAUAUCAAUCAGUCCAAUGUAGUUUUCUUCUGUUUUUGUUCACAGAUCAGCUUUAAGUUAUUAUCGCAUGAGUAUUUACCUUAUAUGCUUUUAUUACAUAGUAUCGUGUGUUUAAUUUGUUUUCUUUUAAUAUAGUAAACUUCUAGCGAUCGACAAUAUUGUACUGAACGUAUUUACAACUAAGCCGAUAUAGAGUUGUUCAAAUAGAUGACCUUUGAUUUGUCUGAAGGUGUUGUGUUCUUUUUUGGGAUUCCACGAUGAAAACGAGUUUAAACACCGAUGUAAUAAAUAUAUUCUAAAAUG